rnacentral:tRNA from 1 species
AGUGAAGUGCCUGAAAAAAGGAUAAUUUUGAUAGAAUUAAUCAUGCAAAAUAAAAUGCCUUCACUU